UGAGCACGUCGGAGACGAGGUGAGAGGCGAAGGAGUUGAGGUGGUCGGUGGAGUUGGAUCGGAGGAAGGUGAGAAGCUCAUCGAGCGUGGCGCCGUCGGAACCGGCGGCGAGGAUGCUAAGCACGACUUGAAGCGACAAGGGUGAAAACACGAUGUUCUUGUCCUUCGAUUCUUCAUUCAAGAACAAACGCUUUGUGAUGCUGAGGGCAACUUCUGUUUGGUUUCUGAUUGAGUCUAGGAGCUCCAUUUUUGUUCCUAUUUUCGAACUGUCUGAGGAGAAUGCUUGAACGAGAGUUGACAUUGAACUUGUACUAAUUGAAUUUACAGAAUUUUACUAAAGGCGGUUGUAGAAACUCGUUGUUACCAAAUGUUGGGGUUGGAUUUGGCAGGGAUUUGUGUUUCCCACCCCAUCCUUUAGACUACGCGCCCCAGCAUUUUUUUUUUAUCCCAAAAGUACCCAUCGGUAAAUGAUUAACCGAUAUAAAUAUACACAUCGGUUAAUCAUUAACCGUUAUUAUUCCUCUGUAUGAACACCUUCAUACCAUUACCCAGAACACGAAGAACAAUAUCGGUUAAUCAUUAACCGAUUCGUAUAUUGAUAUCGGUUAAUCAUUUACCGUUAUGAUUUUUGGCAGUUUGAUCACCUUUUCACCAUUACUCCUCCCUCCACCAACCCCUCCACCAUUACUCCUCCCUCCACCUGCCCCCCAUAACUCGCCCACACAACCUUAUUCCACCAUUACUCCACUCCUCCCUCACAUUUCACCUUCCAACCACCACCACCAUCUCCACAUUUUCCACCACCACCACCACCAACACCACCUCCACCAAGGGGAAGCUCUAAACUCCCGGUAAAUGUUGUUAGCUUUUUGGUACUUUAUCUCAGUAGUUAGUUGUUAGUUUAAGUAGUUAGUUGUUAGUUUAAGUAGUUAGUUUAGUUAGUUAAGUUGGUAAUUUAGGCUGCUGUAUCGUGAACGGUAUCGGUAAAUGAUUUUCCGUUAAUGGGUCGGAUUAUGAUAUUCCGUUAUAGGACCGGAUGUUGAUUUGCCGUUAGUGAUUCGGAUAUUGAUUUACCGUUUUGGUUCUAGGGAUGACAAAGUCCUUUUUUUUUGGUGAAUCACAAUUGAUACAUGCUGCUGGAUUGGAAAAUUAUAAUCCAGAGGAGCAACCAUCACCAGUUGAACCUCCGAUUAUAUCUAUAGAUGUCUCUCAUUUGUAUCAGACUGAUCAGGUACUCAUAAUACAAAUUUUUGCAUGUUUUGUUUAUGCUUUGUUUAUGCCUUGUUUUAUGCCUUAUGCCUUGUUUAUCCUGAAACAGCGUUUCCCUUUGAAAGAUGAUCUAAUGAAAUGGGUUCGCGACAUUUCUAUGGCAAAUAAUUUUGUUUUGGUGACAACAAAGUCUGAUAGUGGUGCGAAGGGAAGAAAAGAAUAUGUCAUUCUGGGGUGUGAGAAGCAUAGUGUGUAUAUUCCCUACAGAGAUCCUGAUCUUGUUGAAGGAACGUCAACACAAAAGACAGGUUGUCCUUUUAGGCUAAAAGGACGACGUACGAAAGAUGGUAAAUGAUGGUGGUUGAAGGUGAUGGAGGGUAGACACAUCCAUCUCGCAGCUGAGUCACUACUUGGCCACAAUUACGCUGGUCGACUGAAUAAUGAGGAGAAUGAGGACGUGAUAAAUCAGGCUAAGACUUGGGUUCCACCUAGAAAGAUGUUGGCGUCCUUGAAAGAAAAAGAUCCUUCAAACUUGACUACCAUCCAACAAAUUUAUGGUGUUUGCAAGCGGUUCAGACAAUCCGUUCGUGGGUCACUAACAGAGAUGCAAUACUUGCUGAAGAAGUUGGACGGUGAGAAGUAUGUUCACUUCGAAAGAAAUGAACCCGGAUCGGAAGUGAUUAGAGAUAUAUUUUGGGCUCAUCCCUUUGCCGUCAAACUUUUCAACACAUUCCCAUAUAUAGUGAUCAUGGAUUGCACAUACAAGACCAGCAAAUACAAACUACCCUUGCUCGAGAUUGUUGGCCUGACCUCCACGGAUAAAACAUACUCAAUAGCAUUCUGUUACAUUGGCAGUGAGACCACAGAUGACUACAUUUUGGCACUGGAGUGUAUGAAGUCUCUGAUUUCCGACCAAUCCAGGUUGCCUAGAGUGAUUGUGACGGACAGAGAUCUUGCCUUAUUGAGUGCUGCUUCACAAAGCCUUCCCACCACUACCCAUUUACUAUGCUUGUGGCACAUCAACAAGUGUGUUUUGGCAAAGUGCAAAGAGUAUGUUGGCACAGAUGAUUUUGCUCAAGAGGUUAUGGACAAGUGGGCCGAAUUGGUAGAUGCUCCAACAGUUCCAGAAUUUGAAGCUCAUUGGAUUGAAUUGUUUAACAUGUGCAAGCUUAAACACAAGUUGAAAUUUGCCACUUAUUGUUCUACUACAUGGUUGGUCCACAAGCAGAAAUUUGCCAAGGCAUGGACAAAUCAUGUGAUGCAUUUUGGAACAACAACAAGUAACAGGGCUGAAGGUGCACAUGCCAGCUUGAAGUUGAUGUUGCGGAACAGUAAGGGUGACCUGGCCACAUCAUGGGAUGCGUCGCAUAGUUUGACCAUCAAUCGUCACACUGAGAUAGUAGCAUCGUUUGAGCGCAGUAUGAAUAAAAUUGAUCACCUUUUCAAGACCCCUUUCUACACAAAUAUUAGGGGAUUUGUGUCAAUCAAAUGCCUGAAACUCAUUGAUGCUGAACUGACAAGAAUGCAGUCCUACGACGGCAGAUGCGAUUGCUUAUUGAGAGAGACUCAUGGACUACCUUGCGGUUGUCAACUUGCAGAUUAUCAGAGGAUUCCGUACAAGGCCAUUCAUCCAUUCUGGAAGAGCCUAAGUUGGGAGCAUGUACCUGUUGCAGAUACUGGCAGCUCAGAUAUUUGCGGACUAAACCAUGGAGAGAUGCACCCAGAAGUUGAGGCACUGGCACGUUAUUUCCAUUCUUUGGAUACUGGAGGGCAGAGUAUGGUAAGGAGGAAGCUUCAGGCGAUAUAUUGUCCUGAAAGGAGUACACUAUGUACUCCUGAGCUUCGGAUAAAGUCCAACCGAACUCCUAACUUGAAGGAGAGCAAACCACCCAAGGGUCGAGCAAUAGGAUCCUUGACUCGUGAUCCUUCAGCGUUUGAACUUACUGACAAGAAGAUUAAAGAGGAAAAGAAGUCUUCACAACUAGCAAAGAGGAAGAAGCGUGUGAAGAAGUUUGAUACAAGCCAUUUCAUGUGUAACUUUCCAGCCUUUCUCCAUCCAUAUAUUGACACAAUUCCAGAUGUUGAGGAUGAUGGUAACUGUGGCUAUAGAUCCAUUGCUGCAUUACUGGGGCAUUCCGCCGGUCAGGACGGUUGGCCUUGAGUUAGGGCUUCAUUGAUACAAGAACUCGAGACCAAUGUGUUAAUGUAUAAUAGGAUGUGGGGCACAAAUGUAGUUUAUGGCUUACAUGAUCGACUCACUCUUCCUCUUGGUGACCCGGCCGCCCCUGACAAAUGGUUUCAACUGCCAGAGAUGGGAUACCUUGUUGCCACAAAGUACCAAUUGGUUCUCGUAUCCUUAUCCUCUAUGGGUUGUAACACAUACUUUCCACUGAUAGGAGCCGGUCCACGAGAUGAGCAUACUGUUAUAGCUAUUGGACAUGUGAUAAAUCACUGGGAAGGUGAUUAGGAAGAAAUACAAGAGUUGAUAGAGAAGUGGAUAGUUUUGAAGGCUUCUGUCAAAAAGGCGCUCAACACCCUUGAAGAGCGCUCAGCACCAUUGCCACAGAAGAGGAAAAUGGAAGUUCUGUCAAAAGGGCGCCCAACACACUUUAAAGGAGCUCGACACCUUUUCAAUAGAUAGGGUAAUCUGUGCAAAAUGCGCUCAGCACAUGAAAAGUGCGCUCAGCAUGAUUAGGGCGGUGGCAAAACCCAUCAGUGAAGGAAUCAGGGUGCUGAGCGCCCAGAAAACAUGCUCAGCACCCUGUACACGGAUUUUAUAUAAAAAGACCAAAAUCCCAUCAGAAAGAAGAACUUCUUGGACCAGAACUGAAACCCACAACUUUGGGAAAGAUAGAAUUCGAAGGAGAGCAUCAAGGGAGGUAUAGGAGACUUGGGAGAAGGCUUUGGAGCCGAUUUCAUCGCCGGGGAACCGUCACGUAUUCGGUUUUUCAUCGUUCUUCUUCUCUUUUAUGAUUGUAAAGCUAUCCAUGGAAAUGGAUAGCUAAUUUCUCAUUUGUUGGGAUUAGAACUAGUUGUUUUGAUGCUCAUGUAAUCUAUUUGAUUUCCUUUCAUGCAAA